UUAAUAUGAAGAGUUUGAUCCUGGCUCAGAUUGAACGCUGGCGGCAUGCCUAACACAUGCAAGUCGAACGGAAACGAUGGAAGCUUGCUUCCAGGCGUCGAGUGGCGGACGGGUGAGUAAUGCUUGGGAAUCUGCCUAA
rnacentral:rRNA from 1 species